UACAGGGGGUGCAAACGUUGCUCGGAAUCACUGGGCGUAAAGGGUGCGUAGGCGGGUUUUUAAGUCAGAGGUGAAAUCCUGGAGCUCAACUCCAGAACUGCCUUUGAUACUGAAAGUCUUGAGUAUGGGAGAGGUGAGUGGAACUGCGAGUGUAGAGGUGAAAUUCGUAGAUAUUCGCAAGAACACCAGUGGCGAAGGCGGCUCACUGGCCCAUAACUGACGCUGAGGCACGAAAGCGUGGGGAGCAAACAGG
rnacentral:rRNA from 1 species